GAAGCAAGCCAGACCGCCGCUGGCGCAAUUUCGGAAACGAGGCGCUGGAGGAAGGUCCGGACUGCACAGAGCAGCGUAGCGGCUAACGGCCGCCCGGCGCGAGCCGAGGAUCAGAGCAACAGAGACGAGUCCGGUGGGGUUCCGCCCAACCGGGGUGAAACGGGCAAUCUCUACGCGCAGCAACACCAAGUAGGCCAGCGUUGAUGCGGCUCGCAGAGCUGGCGGGUAGGUGGCACCGAGCCGGGCAGUGAUGCCCGGCCCAGAUGAAUGGCGGUCACGCCGCCCGAACCGCAAGGGAAGGGCGAUGCACAGAAUCCGGCCUAUCGGCUUGCUUCACAC
rnacentral:RNase_P_RNA from 1 species